UACGUAGGGUGCAAGCGUUAAUCGGAAUUACUGGGCGUAAAGCGUGCGCAGGCGGUUUUGUAAGUUUGUCGUGAAAUCCCCGGGCUCAACCUGGGAAUGGCGAUGAAGACUGCAAGGCUAGAAUCUGGCAGAGGGGGGGUAGAAUUCCACGUGUAGCAGUGAAAUGCGUAGAGAUGUGGAGGAACACCGAUGGCGAAGGGCAGCCCCCUGGGUCAAGAUUGACGCU
rnacentral:rRNA from 1 species